GUUAGGAAUAUUGGACAAUGGGCGAAAGCCUGAUCCAGCCAUGCCGCGUGAGCGAUGAAGGCCUUCGGGUUGUAAAGUUCUUUAGCCGAUGAUUAUAAUGACUGUAGUCGGAAAAUAAGCCCCGGCUAACUUCGUGCCAGCAGCCGCGGUAAUACGAAGGGGGCGAGCGUUAUUCGGAAUCACUGGGCGUAAAGCGUGCGUAGGCGGUUUUGUAAGUUAGGAGUGAAAGCCCAGGGCUCAACCUUGGAAUUGCUCUUAAAACUGCAAGGCUCGAAUCUCGGAGAGGAUAGCGGAAUUUCCAGUGUAGCAGUGAAAUGCGUAGAUAUUGGAAGGAACACCAGUGGCGUAAGCGGCUAUCUGGACGAGUAUUGACGCUGAGGCACGAAAGCGUGGGGAUCAAACAGGAUUAGAAACCCCGGUAGUCC
rnacentral:rRNA from 1 species